CUCUCUCUCUCUCUCUCUCUCUCUCUCUCUCUCUCUCUCCCCCAUUCUGCCAAGCAAGAGCUCUCUCUCAAUCGGGCGGCGAAGAAACCUCCAUACGUGGCACAAUCACUCUCGAUUUCCCUCUCUUAGCAUUGAUUCUGAUUGGAAGUUUGUUACUGGAUUUUAGGAAGGAAUUGGAAUUUUGUAGAGAUUAUUUUACACUCUUUUCAGGUGAUUACGCUAUAGUACCGGGCACUAGAAAUCCUCCUUGGAUCCUAACAUUACUCCUGUUGAUGUGUGGUAAGUGGCACUACACCAAAAUCAUUAAUUAGGAACAACUACUAUUUUUUUUUUUCUGCGGAACUGUGAUUUAUGUGCGUCCACUUCCUGCUUAUAGAGUUUUCUAUCUUUUUGUCGGUCUUUUCUUUCUUCCUUGAAGAUAUUGAUCAUGGCCUUUGUGUUUGGGCAGCUAGAAAAGCGAGAAGCUGUAAGGAGACUGUAGGAUUUGUGGAAUGGGAUUGAAAUAUAGCCAUAGUUGUAUGUAUUGUCAUCUAGAAAAAGAAAAAGAUCAACAAAAUGAGACUAGACCAAAAUGAAACAACAACAACUGGCCAAACACUUUACUGCACUUUUGUGUGGCCACUCUGAAUCAGUGGGUCACCUGGUAGAGGCAUCUGUACAAUUAUUUGUGACAGAUCACUGUAGUUGGCUUGAAAGAUGCAUUUGCUUGAUUAUGUUUUGGGGAAUUUCUUUUCUUCAUGUCUUUUCUUUCCCCUGUUUUUGUAUAGACUCAUAGACAAGAUUUGACUGGUGUUUUUAUUAAUAGAGGAGUCAAUCUAGACCCAUUAAGCAAGUGAUCAAGGGUUGGACUGGUUGUGUAUGAUUCACAAGUUCCAAUUGGUGCCACUCUUGAAUACAUAGAUGGGCACUACAUGGUAAAUCUCCUUCUAUUAAUAUACAUGCCAAGCUUUUAUUUAGGGAAAAAGAUAUCUACAGCUUAGUGCAUGCUUGGAUUUUAAUUCGAGCUUGGUAAUGUGGAAUCUAUUUACAUUUUAUGCCUAUGAAAUUUGUAAUUGAAUGUGUUCACAGUUACAAAAGCGACAGGUCUUUCUUUCCAGUUAUGGUGCUUGCUCCUCAGGAGGAACGAAUUGUGGAUAUGGCCCAAGUACUUUCAGGCUCUUGUAACUGAAAGCUCUAUGAGGCCCACCGCGAUGUCCAUAUGACAUCAACUCUAUCCAUCAGUUUCAUUGCAUCCUUUUUUAAUGUGAAACAAAAAGUGAGGCGGAUAAAAUACUCAAGUUGCCACACCAUGAGAAAUAGUAUGGAAUGCUAGCCCAUAUGGAAAUGCUGGUUAUUCCAGUGGAAUUGUAUAAUAUUUCCUUGAAUUUGUUUCUUAUGGGUUUUCCUUUCACGUUGUAGAGAAAGAUUUAGAUUUAGGUUCUGACUUGUAUUCGGAUGGAUCAGAUAUCUUAGAGCAAUUGAUAAGAAAAAGGCAAGAGAACUAAAAGAUACAGAGGUAGAAUUGCAGCUCAAUA